rnacentral:rRNA from 1 species
UACGUAGGGUGCAAGCGUUGUCCGGAAUUAUUGGGCGUAAAGAGCUCGUAGGCGGUUCGUCGCGUCGGCUGUGAAAACCUGAGGCUCAACCUCAGGCCUGCAGUCGAUACGGGCGGACUUGAGUACUGCAGGGGAGACUGGAAUUCCUGGUGUAGCGGUGAAAUGCGUAGAUAUCGAGAGGAACACCUGCGGCGAAGGCGGGUUGCUGGGCUGACACUGACGCUGAGGCGCGAAAGCCAGGGGAGCGAACGGG